rnacentral:rRNA from 1 species
GACGAACGCUGGCGGCGUGCUUAACACAUGCAAGUCGAACGAUGAAGCGGUGCUUGCACCGUGGAUUAGUGGCGAACGGGUGAGUAAUACGUGAGUGACCUACCUUUGACUCUGGGAUAAGCCUGGGAAACUGGGUCUAAUACCGGAUACGACCAAUCUCUGCAUGGGGUGUUGGUGGAAAGCGUUAUGGAGUGGUUUUAGAUGGGCUCGCGGCCUAUCAGCUUGUUGGUGAGGUAAUGGCUUACCAAGGCGACGACGGGUAGCCGGCCUGAGAGGGUGACCGGCCACACUGGGACUGAGACACGGCCCAGACUCCUACGGGAGGCAGCAGUGGGGAAUAUUGCACAAUGGGCGCAAGCCUGAUGCAGCGACGCCGCGUGAGGGAUGACGGCCUUCGGGUUGUAAACCUCUGUUAGCAUCGAAGAAGCGAAAGUGACGGUAGGUGCAGAGAAAGCGCCGGCUAACUACGUG